rnacentral:rRNA from 1 species
UUUAUGGAGAGUUUGAUCCUGGCUCAGGAUGAACGCUGGCGGCGUGCCUAAUACAUGCAAGUCGAGCGAACGGACGAGAAGCUUGCUUCUCUGAUGUUAGCGGCGGACGGGUGAGUAACACGUGGAUAACCUACCUAUAAGACUGGGAUAACUUCGGGAAACCGGAGCUAAUACCGGAUAAUAUUUUAAACCGCAUGGUUCAAAAGUGAAAGACGGUCUUGCUGUCACUUAUAGAUGGAUCCGCGCUGCAUUAGCUAGUUGGUAAGGUAACGGCUUACCAAGGCAACGAUGCAUAGCCGACCUGAGAGGGUGAUCGGCCACACUGGAACUGAGACACGGUCCAGACUCCUACGGGAGGCAGCAGUAGGGAAUCUUCCGCA